AAUCACCUGGGGUGUGCGACACUCCUGACAUUUUGAACCUACACUUUUGAACAGGGAUUCCUAUAUCUAUGUAUGGAUGUCAUGCCCUAUUACCUGGGACGGCAGAAGUACAUGUGCGGUUACCCACCUAGCACAUGCUAGGACUCAAAAUUCAGGAGCCGGCAUUUUGGGCUUCUU
rnacentral:other from 1 species